rnacentral:rRNA from 1 species
GACGAACGCUGGCGGCGUGCCUAAUACAUGCAAGUAGAACGCUGAAGAGAGGAGCUUGCUCUUCUUGGAUGAGUUGCGAACGGGUGAGUAACGCGUAGGUAACCUGCCUUGUAGCGGGGGAUAACUAUUGGAAACGAUAGCUAAUACCGCAUAACAAUGGAUGACACAUGUCAUUUAUUUGAAAGGGGCAAUUGCUCCACUACAAGAUGGACCUGCGUUGUAUUAGCUAGUAGGUGAGGUAAUGGCUCACCUAGGCGACGAUACAUAGCCGACCUGAGAGGGUGAUCGGCCACACUGGGACUGAGACACGGCCCAGACUCCUACGGGAGGCAGCAGGAGGGAAUCUUCGGCAAUGGGGGCAACCCUGACCGAGCAACGCCGCGUGAGGGAAGAAGGUUUUCGGAUCGUAAAGCUCUGUUGUAAGUCAAGAACGGGUGUGAGAGUGGAAAGUUCACACUGUGACGGUAGCUUACCAGAAAGGGACGGCUAACUACGUG